UAAGAAAAAAUACGAAAAUGAUGGGAAAUGUACAAAUACAAAUAAAAUUUCAACGAUUUUGAAUAAUCAUCGAGAGAUUGUCAAGAUACGAUUUCCAGUUUGAUCUUCUUUUUUUUCUUCCACUCAGCUCUAUUUGACUCUUCUUCAAGGAAAAUAAUAUAAAAUCUCCACCACUUUGAUUUUUUUCCUCAAAAAACUUUACUAUUUAUAUCUGAAUUUGCCAAGUUUGAAUAUUAUGACUUUUUGAAAACAGAAUAAACAAAUAAUAUUCAUACGCCAUGGACAGGCAAAAUCCCACAGAUAUGCAAAGAUCUCUCAGAAUCUCUCCUUCCCUCUCACUCUUCCUUAUAAAUCCCUAUUCUUUCAUUGCCUUUGCAAAAUCAAAUCUCUCACUUAGUACUUUCUUGUCAGAUCAUAAGCAGAUUCUUUGAUUGAUAUGGCGGAGGUUAUGCGUCCAGAAAAGUUGGACAUGUCCAACGAAACUUCUUCCUUAGGAUCACCUGAGCUUCUUCAUGUUCUUGCCGUAGAUGAUAGCAUCGUUGAUAGGAAAUUCAUUGAGCGGUUGCUCAGAGUGUCGUCUUGUAAAGUUACUGUUGUCGAUAGCCCGACAAGAGCUUUGCAAUACCUUGGAUUAGAUGGAAACCAUAGUUCUGUUGGAUUUAAGGAUCUGAAGAUUAAUAUGAUAAUGACGGAUUACUCUAUGCCUGGCAUGACUGGAUAUGAACUAAUGAAAAAGAUUAAAGAAUCAGCAGCUUUCAGAGAAAUACCCGUUGUGAUUAUGUCGUCAGAGAAUAUAUUGCCACGUAUUGAUAGAUGUCUUGAAGAAGGUGCUGAAGAUUUCUUAUUGAAGCCUGUGAAACUUGCUGAUGUGAAGAGAUUAAGAGACUCGUUAAUGAAAGCCGACGAAAGAGCUUGCAAGAAUAUUAUGCACAAAAGAGAGCUACAAGCUAAUGAUAUCUACUCACAGCUAAAACGCGUAAAUAUCUGAGUCAUAUUGUUUUUCAUAUUCCUUGAUAUGAUCUUAAAAGCUUAACGAUUCACACACAUAAGCAUGUCAUGCUUCUUUCGGCUUACAAUUUUUGAGAACUCAACAGCCUCUUUUGCCGAUGGAAUCAGUGACAACGGAGGAGAGGGAAAACGAAGGAUUUUUAUGAGGUCCCUAUAUAAUGAUUUCUUUGAAAUCCCUAUAUUGAGUUAAAUUAUUGUUUUUACCGGCCAUUAGGUCGGUAUCAGAACAAAAACAACUAUCAUGCCGCGCACAUGUAAAGAGACGCAAGCCAAAACCCAGCAAAGAACCCUAGAACAGAUGCAAGAGCAGAUCACUCAGCUCACCCAAGCUAUGCAAGCCUUGGUCACUCAGCGCAACACUGCUCCAUUGUUUGAUCCUUGUAUGUUUUGACUAAAAAAAAGUUGUAGUACCUUUUGAUGUUUCCCUUUUUCUUGGCAGAGCACAAGGAACAGACAAUGCCUCAUUGCUGGAUUUUGGUGGUCGAAUAAUUGAGUUCCUAAGUACUUUAUUUUUUACGUAUUAAGAAUAGUAAUAUGCUAUUCAGUUAGCUAUUCAUCUAGAGUCAUGAGAAAGAAGAGACGCAAAUCUUAUGUUAGAGACGCAACUCUUUGUCUUAUUUUUUGUACUGUUUCGACUCUAUUUAAAUCUAUUUAAAGUAUUUUCAUUGUC